rnacentral:rRNA from 1 species
UACAGAGGGGGCUAGCGUUAUUCGGAAUUAUUGGGCGUAAAGGGCGCGUAGGCGGCUUUGCGUGUCUUCCGUGAAAUCCCUCGGCUCAACCGAGGACGUGCGGAAGAAACUGCAAGGCUCGAGUCCGGAAGAGGGGGGCGGAAUUCCCAGUGUAGCGGUGAAAUGCGUAGAUAUUGGGAGGAACACCAGUGGCGAAGGCGGCCACCUGGACCGGUUCUGACGCUGAUGCGCGAAAGCGUGGGUAGCAAACAGG